rnacentral:lncRNA from 10 species
AAAUAGUUGCUCCAUAGAAAAUCCUCCACAGUACUGAAAUGAGGCUGCCUCACCAUUGGGGAUAGUGAAAAGGACAAUUUCCUUUGAACACACUCAUUUUCUGAUUGAAGAGAAUACAGAGAAUGUGGAUUUUCCUGGUGCCAAGUUGUUCUUCCAUUCCUCGGCCAAGUUUCCAUUCUGAUUAACUCAAGAUUCACUUGGAACCCUUUCCUUGCUAUGGCCAUUAAUCCUAAACUGCUUUAUCAGGAACUUGGCCCAAUCUGAGUUAGUUUCCUUCCUUGGAUACCUGCCUUAAACCAGAUCCUCAAACCUCAUAAAUAUCCCUCCUAGAAAAUAAGACUCUGUCAAGGGAGUAUUCUUUCUUAUUUCAGUAGGCAAUGAACUUGAUGCUGUUUUAUCAACAAGUUGAUUAAGUGAUGAUUAGGGUAUCAGUAAUCAACAUUGAUUUGAACCCUGGCUAGCUACAACACUUCCUAGCUGUGUGAUCUUGGGAAACAUUUCUGAGAUGGUUAAUACUGAGUGUCAACUUGAUUGGACUGAAGGAUGUAAAGUAUUGUUCCUGGGUGUGUCUGUAAGGGUGUUGCCAAAGGAGAUCAAUGGACUGGGAGAGGCAGACCCACCCUCAAUCUGGGUGGGCACCAUCUAACCAACUGCUAGCGUGGCUAGAAUAAAGCAGGCAGAAGGACGUGGAAGGACUUGACUUCCUGAAUCUUCUGGUCCUCAUCUUUUCCCCGUGCUGGAUGCUUGCUGCCCUCAAACAUCGGACUCCAAGUUCUUCAGCUUUGGGACUCUUGGACUUACAAGCUCUCUGGCCUUCGGCAACAGACUGAAGGCUGCACUUUCGGAUUCCCUACUUUUGAGAUUUUGGGACUCAGACUGGCUUCCUGGUUCCUCAGCUUGCAGACGGCCUAUUGUAGGACUUCACAAGUCUCACCUCAUAGCCUAUUCAUUACCGCUGAAAGUGAUUCAGAUUGUCAAGGCCCAUCUUCUAUACAGCGCUUCCCAAAGUGACGUCGGUAGACCAGUACCAGUAAGAAAACUGUUUCUAGUCUGAUAAGGGCACAGAUGUCGGAGCCAGACUGCCUGGACUCAAAUCUCAGAACCUGCAUUUAUUAGCUGUGUGACUUUGGAUAAUCCUCUCUCCACAACUUGAUAAUGCACAAACUGCAAAUCUUCUGGUACUCACUGCUGCAAGCAAACUUGAAGUCUUUCUGAGCCUGACUCUUCAUUCCUGCCUUGUGUGACCCAGGGAUGGAGGACUGCCCUCCCAACUCAUUAUCCUCUUUGCCCAGGAGCUCCAUCCUGUUGCCAUCUGCUAAAAUCCUCAGCCCACCUGCAUAGUGAACAGCAUUCAUUGUUUUCCAGAAAUGUGCAAGAACCACAGUCUCCCCCAAGACUGAAGGUAACAUCAGGAAGCAUACUAUGUAAGACAGAUACAAAGGGGAGCUGCUGUAUGGUGAUAUAUACUGGAUUAAGAGGAGAGCUUUUAAAGAUGAAUACUUAAACAAAAGGAAAAGGGCAUUCCAAGCAGAAAGAGCAAGAAAAAAGGAAAAUUAGAUGAGUCUAUUGUAAUUAUAAUUCUACAACUCAUUACCAACGUUUGAAGAGGUCUCUCACACUCUGGGACUACUAUGCACCCAUGCUAAUCAUCUUGGGGCUGGAUACCAGACAACUGGAGACAGCCCCUAUGUCCUGGUGCUUGAGAAAUUAUUCAAAUUAUCCAACCUGCAGCAAGUAUAUGAAACCUAGCUAACCUCAUCUCUCUUGCCAUACACAAGCUGCCCACUACAGAUUCAGCUUGCUCUUAGCCUAUCCUGAGCUAACUCCCUGUGCGGCACUGCAUAGGGAGUUCUCUCUUUUGGCCCAGAUACCAUAUUUCAUUUAGUUGUCAUUUCUCCUUAAACUUCUCUUGGUUGUGAUAGUUUCUUAGAUUGUCUUUGUUUUUGAUGACCUGGACCAUUUUGAAGGCUACUAGACAGAAAGGGUCACUACAGAUUUUCUUUAAGCGGCACACACACCUCAUGCCAGAAUGCUGAAAUACGGAUUAUCUGGGCAUGUUUUCACUGAGAAAGGCAGAGCAAAUGAUGGAGGAGAGAGAGUAAAACAUAAAGGAGAAAUACAGAGGCAAAUAGCAUGUCCGGAAUUGGUGGGUUCUUGGUCUGACUUCAAGAAUGAAGCCACAGACCCUCGCAGUGAGUGUUACAGUUCUUAAAGGUGGCGUGUCCAGAGUUUGUUCCCUCUGAAGUUCAGAUGUGUUCCGAGUUUCUUCCUUCUGGUGGGUUCAUGGUCUCGCUGGCUCCGGAGUGAAGCUGCAGACCUUCGCGGUGAGUGUUACAACUCUUAAGGCAGCGCGUCUGGAGCUGUUCGUUCCUCCCGGUGGGUUCAUGGUCUCACUGGCUUCACGAGUGAAGCUGCAGACCUUCUCAGUGAGUGUUACAGCUCAUAAAGACAGUACGAACCCAAAGAGUGAGCAGUAGCAAGAAUUAUUGCAAAGAGCAAAAGAACAAAGCAACCCCACUGCA